rnacentral:rRNA from 1 species
AAUGAACGUUGGCGGCGUGGAUUAGGCAUGCAAGUCGAGCGAGAAGUUCCUUCGGGAACGGACAGCGGCGAAAGGGAGAGGAAUACGUAGAAAUCUACCCUGAGACCGGGAGUAGCGUCGGGAAACGUAGGCGAGUAAUACCGGAUAACGUCUUAGGACCAAAGGUGUGAUUCCACUUGGGGAGUGAGUCUACGCCCUAUUAGCUAGUUGGUGGGGUAAGGGCCCACCAAGGCGACGAUCCGUAGCUGGUCUGAGAGGAUGACCAGUCACACCGGAACUGAGACACGGUCCGGACUCCUACGGGAGGCAGCAGUGGGGGAAUAUUGGACAAUGGGCGGCAAGCCUGAUCCAGCCAUGCCGCGUGGGU